rnacentral:rRNA from 1 species
UCGAGAAUCAUUCGCAAUGCGCGAAAGCGUGACGAUGCGACGCUGCGUGCAGGAUGAAGGCCUUCGGGUCGUAAACUGCUGUCGGAAGGGAUUAACGAUUUUCUAAUUAAUAGUUAGGAGAAGUGACAGUACCUUCAAAGGAAGCCACGGCUAACUCUGUGCCAGCAGCCGCGGUAAUACAGAGGUGGCGAGCGUUGUUCGGAAUUACUGGGCGUAAAGGGUGCGUAGGCGGCAAAUCAAGCCGGAUGUGAAAUCCCACCUUUCAUGGGUGGAACUGCAUUCGGAACUGGUUAGCUAGAGUAUGGGAGAGGAGAGUGGAAUUCAUGGUGUAGCGGUGAAAUGCGUAGAUA